rnacentral:tRNA from 1 species
AUUUAAGUAGUUUAAUUUAAAAUAAAGAUUUGUGGAUUCUUUGAUGUUUAUAAUACCUUAAGUU